CUACAAUUGUAUUAAGUUUGAACUCAUUUCUUGUGGUUUUAAUAAUUGUUUGAAGAUUAAUGAGAAAAGACAUGUGAAUUAUCACAGCUUGAGUUGAGGUUUAAGCAAGGUCAGUGUCAUUAAGAUUAAGGCAUUUCAGCUAGAAGAAUAUAAGUCACCAAAAAAAAAUACAUCAUUUAAAACUUCAUUUUUUUUCAUAUCAUAGUCAUGUAUUAGGUGCUGAAUUUUUAAUACAUUUGUUAUCAAUAAGUAUGUAUGUGUAAGUAAAAGUAUAGUUUCUCCCUCCAUAUGUAUAAGGUGGGAGACUAAUUGUGUUAUCCUCACAGACAUUCCAUUUGUACAUGUAUCUAUCUGUGAAAAUGUCUUGUCAAUGUUAAGUCAAGUUUACACAGAAAUGAAAAAAAACUAUUAGUUUCUUGCCAGUAGGGAAGUUCUAGCAGACUGCUGCACGUGCAGAUAAGAUUUUAUUGUUGAUAUAACAUGAUAUGAUACAUUGUCUUAUGAGUUUCUAUGAUUGCAAAAGUGUGCAAGAUGGUUAUUAUUUUUAAUCUUAUAAUGCACAGUCAAUGCACAUUGUAUUUCACAACUAGCAUUUAGUUUCAUAUAUAUAUUUUUAUGUUGCCCAGUCUUCACAAUUUACCACAAGCUCUAAAGCUCAGUGAAAUGUAUUCUGCCUAGUACAUGUAGUAGGCAUGACAAGACAUAAAAUAUUUAACAAUUUAAUGAAAGAAAGAACAAUUUUAAGGCUUGCAAAUCAACAAGUGUACGUUAAGACUGGUUGUCAUGGUACAUAAAAUAUUGUUAAAACAUGACUUAACUACAUUAUGGUGGGGUGUUUUUUAUGAAAAGCUAUGCUUUGGCCAAAAAAUUAAAUCAAAGCGCUUUUCUUUCUUAAUGUGUUGACUAUAGAAUAUAAUGAGGAAUCAGCCUUAGGGAGAACUUGCAUUUAUGCAUAUCUACAGUAAAAAAGUUCCAACUUGAAAAUAAUGAAGCAGGUUGUUUUCACAAAUAGAAUUAGUGAGUGCAAAGUCCAUAUUCCUUACUAAGAACUUUGCCAUGAACUUUCUGUUAUAAAGUUAUUCAGCAAUAUAAUUAAAUGUGCAUAUCACAUUUUCCUCAAAUAAAAAAAAAAAGGUUUAUGGUUAAAAUAUUUCUAAAAUUUUGAAAAGUAGUUCUGACAUGUUCAUAUUUUUGAAACACUCCAUGUGAAUAAAAAAUUAACAGUUGCUAAACAUCCUAUAUUAGUGUUCAUUUCACUUUUGUAUGAAAAUCAUAAAAACAACAUCAGACUCUCUUUAUCACAAUGUCCAUGUAUCAUCAAAGGAAUAUAUAAUUAUGGGUAUAAAAAUUUGGAGUGCACAUUUAUUUAUUUUUUGCCAAAAUUAUUUUGUAGUGAUUUUCCCAAUGUUAAAAAAUGUGCAACUUUUCUUAUAUACAGUACACAUGUAGUUAAUUAUGAUUUACUUUAUUUUUAAUAACUAACAGAUAACCAAUUUCAACAUGUAAUUUAUACUUUUGUGGACUUCAAUGGAUAGCCUGUUUAGAUUUUUAUGCCCCACCUACGAUAGUAGAGGGGCAUUAUGUUUUCUGGUCUGUGCCUCCGGUCGGUCGUUCGUCCGUUCGUUCGUCCGUUCCUUUGUCCUGCUCCAGGUUAAAGUUUUUGGUCAAGGUAGUUUUUGAUAAAGCUGAAGUCCAAUCAAUUUGAAACUUUGUACACUUGUUGCUUAUGAUAUGAUCUUUCUAAUUUUAAAGCCAAAUUAGACAUUUGACCCCAAUUUCACGGUUCACUGAACAUAGAAAAUGAAAGUGCGAGUUUCAGGUUAAAGUUUUUGGUCAAGGUAGUUUUUGAUGAAGCUGAAGUCCAAUCAACUUGAAACUUAGUACACUUGUUGCUUAUGAUAUGAUCUUUCUAAUUUUAAUGCCAAAUUAGAUUUUCUACCCAAUUUCACGGUUCACUGAACAUAGAAAAUGAAAGUGCGAGUUUCAGGUUAAAGUUUUUGGUCAAGGUAGUUUUUGAUGAAGCUGAAGUCCAAUCAACUUGAAACUUAGUACACUUGUUGCUUAUGAUAUGAUCUUUCUAAUUUUAAUGCCAAAUUAGAUUUUCUACCCAAUUUCACGGUCCAUUGAACAUGGAAAAUGAUAGUGCGAGUGGGGCAUCCCUGUACUUAGGACACAUUCUUGUUUGUAUUAGUUUAAUUCUGUAGAUAGGAUUAAGAUCUCAUCUAGUCGUAUAUAUUUUUCAUGACUUGUGUCCAGCUUUAGGAAGUUUUAUUAGUUAAACAUUUUUGCAGAAUUUAUGUUUUAUGCUUUAUAUUAUCUGUACAUUGUUUUUAUGUUUGUUCAUAAGCUACAGCUAGACUUUUUCAUAAUUUUUAAAUCUUAUUAUCUGGUGAAUUUAACAAUGUAAUUUUUUUUUUUCUAAAGUAAAGGAAAAUGUGAAGAAGGUUCACUUAUAACCAAUCCAUAUCUUUCCUCUUUCAUUUAAAAUGGUUAAGUUUCACUUCAAUCUUAUUAUUGUUUGUCCUUCCAAGGUAAAUUAUACUGUUCAUUUGUCAGGUGUUCAUGAAAGAAUUUUAAAACUAAAUUGUUGUAUUCAGAAUCUUAUUGAUCUUUGUUUUACAAAAGAAAGUAUAAUUAUGUGCAAUAUGAAAAUAAUAUAGGGUAAAGUUUUAUCUCCAUACUUCUGUUUCUGGGAUGGAGGGUAAUGAGGAGUUUUUCUGUUGAUUCUGAAAGAGUGAUGUACGUUCUGCAGUUUUGAUCAAAUGCAUAUGAGUUUCUGUGAUAUUUAUUUGUCAUUUGCUAUGUAAUUUACACUUAGAGUAGCAUUUAUACAAUAUGUACAAGUUAUUUGUUUAUUUUGAAUACAAGGAUGAGAGGUGUGUUUACAGAUUAACAACCGUUGACUUAUUAUUCCCUAAAUAUAUCUAAAAAAAAAGGAUUCCUGGUAUAAUUGAAAGGUUGGUAAUAAACCACAUUGAAAUAUAUCCCUUUUUCACGAUAUAAAUCAAAGAUGGUUUGUAUGUACAUCAGUAUAUAUACAGUUAUUGACUGGGUUUUAGAUCAACAGUUGUUUAGUUAGACAUGAAAACAGAAGUGUUGCCCUAAGGCUAAGGCUGACAUUUACUUACAGUUUGUGGGUGUAAUUACAAUUGAUCAAGAAUUAGUAGAACUGUUUUGUUAUACCUCAACCCUAUCAAGUGACAUUCACAAUACUAGUGAAGACUGAUCAAUGAAAUACAGUAUCUAAAUAAUACGGUCAUUUUCAUGAAAAUCUUUUUAAAAUUAAUCAGUUCUUUACGUAAUGUCUUUAUAUAGAGAAAACAUUGAAAUAAGUAUAAUAAAUUUUCUUUGAUCUAGUUCUUGAUUAUAGAAUAUCAAACUAUUUUGUAGUUGUGUUGUUCAUAUCUACCUUUUCACUAAUACAUCUUACCAUUAGAAAGUAGACAAACAAACUACUUGAAAUGUACAUGCACUGAAUACAAAAGUUGUUGAUUUUUUUUUUAUCAAAUACUGUUCAGGAGGUAUUU